rnacentral:rRNA from 1 species
UACGGAAGGCAGCAGUGGGGAAUAUUGCACAAUGGGCGAAAGCCUGAUGCAGCUAUGCCGCGUGUAUGAAGAAGGCCUUAGGGUUGUAAAGUACUUUCAUCGGGGAGGAAAAACAAAACUAAUAAUUUUAUUUCUUGACGUUACCCGAAAAAGAAGCACCGGCUAACUCCGUGCCAGCAGCCGCGGUAAUACGGGGGUGCUAGCGUUAAUCAGAAUUACUGGGCGUAAAGAGCACGUAGGUGGUUUUUUUAAGUCAGAUGUGAAAUCCCUGGGCUUAACCUAGGAACUGCAUUUUGAAACUGAAAUACUAGAGUAUCGUAGAGGGAGGUAGAAUUCUAGGUGUAGCGGUGAAAUGCGUAGAUAUCUGGAGGAAUACCUGUGGCGAAAGCGGCCUCCUAAACGAAUACUGACACUGAGGGUGCGAAAGCGUGGGGAGCGAAACAGGGAUUAGAUACC